GGGAGUGUUGUGCCGUUUGGGGGUUAUUCAACCUUGAGAACUCAGCUAGGGGGAGUUUUGGGGGUCAUUUUCAACUUUUGAGGAGCUUUUGGUUUUUAUUUUAUUUUAUUUUAUUUUAUUUUUCUCUCUGUCUGCCUCGAUGGGUGAGCAUUUUUUCUUUUCUACUUUUUCUUUUGAUGCCGAAUCUUGCAAAGACUUCAAAGUAUCUCUCGGGUUUGUUCAUUUUAUUUUCUGCUUUUCCCUUUAUGCCCUUUUUGUUUCGGCUGAAUAGCCCUUGGUUCUUUCCUCUUUUCUUUGUGGCCGAAUAUUGCCUUUCUUUCUUCUUCUCUUUUGGCCGAAUACUGCCUUUCUC
rnacentral:lncRNA from 1 species